AAAUUUCCAAAAACUUGGCGGCUUAAAAUACCAUUUAUUCUCUUACAGUGCUGAAGGCCAGAAGUCUGAAAUCAUUUUCACUGGCCCCAAAUCACCGUGUCAGCAGGACUGUGCUCCUCUCAGAGUCUCUAGAGGAGAAUCCCUUCCUUGCCUUUUCCAGCUCCUCGGGGCUUCCAGCUUUUCUUGGCCCAUGGCUGCAUCUCUCCAAUCUUCAAGUCACACCAAUGGAUGGAAAGGAAGACCACUGGAUAAAAGCAGCGAAGAAAACGGCAUCGCGAAUAGGAUUUAAGAUCAACAAAGCUGGGAAAUGAACAGAAAGAUAUGGAAAGCCUUCAUUGGUCUUCAUCACUGCUGCUAAGCUGACAGAUAAUUGAAUAACUUUUAGUCACUGUGCUGGGUUGGAAGGACACAAACAUAAAGAUUCCCUAUACUCUCCAAGAUUGCUUUCACGAUCAGACAGACCUACUACAUAGCAGUUACAGUGCAAUGUGAAGAAAUGCCUGCAAUCUGACAGGUCUUCUGCACAGUGGGGAUGCUUGGGGUCUCUGAUUGUUCUACUUGUAACUGGAUGUCUUACAAGCCAAGUGGCUUGCAGGUUGGAAGGGGUGAUGCACGGCGCAGAGCCCCAGAGAGAGGCUUUCCCAAUGACAGUCAUGCAAGAGGUUCAUCCAUCCAUCACCACAGUCAAGCUUCAGAACAGUUCUAUCACCACAAGGUGAUGGAGCUUCCUCCAGUACAUACUCUCUGCCAAGGCCAAGCCCAAAUCACAGCCCAUACUCAGACAAAGCAAAAGACUCCAGAGAAAAAAGUGGUGUCAGUCUCAGCGCAAUGAAGAACAGCUCUUCCUUCUACAGAAUUUUGGUUCAUCUAAUCAUCUUUGUUUCCACAGCUCUCUGAUGUCUUCAAAAAAGUAUGAUUUGGUAGUUUAUCAAGGUAUUUCUAGUUAUUACAAAGAGUGAUGCUCUUCUACUACUUAUGAUAUACUGCCCUGAGUUGGAUAUUCUACUUUAUACUACUACUUUUCUUUUUCCCCAUCAAAUUGCCUUGGAAAAAAUCGAAUAAUCACAUAAAUGUAAGUCCAUUUAUGGUCUCCAUUUUUCUGUUCCAUUGAUACAUGCCUGUACUUCUUCCAUUACUACAUGUUGAAAAUAUUGUAGGCUAUUGUAUGUCUUUAAAUAAGGCAAUAAAUCCUCCAAAUGUGUUUUUCUUCUUUAAGAUUGUAUUGCUUAUUCCAGAUUUUUUCCAUAUGAAUGAUAGAAUAAGUUUGUCAAUAUCUAGCAGAAAAACCUGUAGAGAUUUUGACUGUGAUUAUAUUUCACUUAUAUAUCAGUUUGAGAAGAAACAACUUCUUAACAAUAUAAUGUCUUCCAAUUCAUUAGCAUGCCUUAUUUCUCCGUUACUUAGAUUACCUUUAAUUUCUUCCAGUAAAGUUUUUUACUUUCUGUGUAGAGGUCUUUCAAGUCUCUUGUUAAAUGUAUUCCUAAGUAUUUUAUGUUUCUUUUAAUGCUAUUAUAAAAUAAAUUGUUUUAAAUAUCAUUUUCCAAUGGUUUGCUAUGAAAAUAUAAAAACUAAAUUGAUUUUUGUGUUGACCUUGUAUGUUGUGACUUUGUAGAAUUCAUUUAUUGGUUUUAAAGUGGCUUUAUUUUCAUAAUAUUCUACACAAUCUUAUCAUCUGUGUAAAAAAAGAAUUUUGCUUCUCCUUUUCCAAACUUAGUGCCUUUUAUUUCAUCAUCUUGCUUUAUUGUAUUAAGAUCUACAAUACUAUGUUUAAUAAAUGAGUGAGAGCAGACAACCUUGCCUUCUUAAAAUCCUAAGGAGAAAGCAUACAUUUUUCACCAUUAAGUAUAAUAAAUCUGCAGAGUUUUCAUGAAUAUCCAUUUGUUGCUUGCUAGACAUUUUUUGGCCAUAAAUAG
ensembl:lncRNA